GACGAACGCUGGCGGCGUGCCUAACACAUGCAAGUCGAGCGGGGAUUUAAGUGGAAGUUCUUCGGAAUGGAGAUUUAAAUUCUAGCGGCGGACGGGUGAGUAACGCGUGAACAAUCUGUCCCGGACAGGGGGAUAACACUUGGAAACAGGUGCUAAUACCGCAUAAGACCACGGCCUCGCAUGGGGCUGAGGUAAAAGGAGCAAUCCGGUUCGGGGUGAGUUCGCGUCCGAUUAGCUAGUUGGUGAGGUAACGGCCCACCAAGGCGACGAUCGGUAGCCGGCCUGAGAGGGUGAACGGCCACAUUGGAACUGAGAGACGGUCCAAACUCCUACGGGAGGCAGCAGUGGGGAAUAUUGGGCAAUGGGCGAAAGCCUGACCCAGCAACGCCGCGUGAGGGAAGAAGGUUUUCGGAUUGUAAACCUCUGUCCUAUGGGACGAAGGAAGUGACGGUACCAUAGGAGGAAACCCCGGCUAACUACGU
rnacentral:rRNA from 1 species